GAUGAACGCUGGCGGCGUACCUAAUACAUGCAAGUCGAGCGAACAGAUGAGGAGCUUGCUCCUCUGACGUUAGCGGCGGACGGGUGAGUAACACGUGGAUAACCUACCUAUAAGACUGGGAUAACUUCGGGAAACCGGAGCUAAUACCGGAUAAUAUAUUGAACCGCAUGGUUCAAUAGUGAAAGACGGUUUUGCUGUCACUUAUAGAUGGAUCCGCGCCGCAUUAGCUAGUUGGUAAGGUAACGGCUUACCAAGGCAACGAUGCGUAGCCGACCUGAGAGGGUGAUCGGCCACACUGGAACUGAGACACGGUCCAGACUCCUACGGGAGGCAGCAGUAGGGAAUCUUCCGCAAUGGGCGAAAGCCUGACGGAGCAACGCCGCGUGAGUGAUGAAGGUCUUCGGAUCGUAAAACUCUGUUAUUAGGGAAGAACAAAUGUGUAAGUAACUAUGCACGUCUUGACGGUACCUAAUCAGAAAGCCACGGCUAACUACGUG
rnacentral:rRNA from 1 species